rnacentral:rRNA from 1 species
AUUGAACGCUAGCGGCAUGCCUUACACAUGCAAGUCGAACGGAGUGGCGAACGGGUGCGUAAGGGAAAGGUACGUGCCCAGUACUGGGGGAUAAGUAUGCCUACGCGAAGCUAAUACUGAUACCUAUUGGAGUGGCCGAUACCCGGAUUGCUAGUUGGUGGGGUAAAGGCUCACCAAGGCGACGAUCCGUAGCCGGCUUGAGAGGGCGACCAGCCACACUGGGACUGAGACACGGCCCAGACUCCUACGGGAGGCAGCAGUGGGGAAUUUUGGACAAUGGGGGAAAGCCUGAUCCAGCCAUCCCGCGUGUGCGAUGAAGGCCUUCGGGUUGUAAAGCACUUUUGGCAGGGAAGCGGUACCUGCAGAAGAAGCACCGGCUAACUACGUGCCAGCAGCCGCGGUAAUUC